UUGGAGGGCAAGUCUGGUGCCAGCAGCCGCGGUAAUUCCAGCUCCAAUAGCGUAUAUUAAAGUUGUUGAGGUUAAAAAGCUCGUAGUUGAACCUUGGGCCUAGCCGGCCGGUCCGCCUCACCGCGUGCACUGGCUCGGCUGGGUCUUUCCUUCUGGAGAACCGCAUGCCCUUCACUGGGUGUGCCGGGGAACCAGGACUUUUAYUYUKAACAAAUUAGAUCGCUUAAAGAAGGCCUAUGCUCGAAUACAUUAGCAUGGAAUAAUAGAAUAGGACGUGUGGUUCUAUUUUGUUGGUUUCUAGGACCGCCGUAAUGAUUAAUAGGGACAGUCGGGGGCAUCAGUAUUCAAUUGUCAGAGGUGAAAUUCUUGGAUUUAUUGAAGACUAACUACUGCGAAAGCAUUUGCCAAGGAUGUUUUCAUUAAUCAGGAACGAAAGUUAGGGGAUCGAAGACGAUCAGAUACCGUCGUAGUCUUAACCAUAAASUAUGCCGAUUAGGGAUCGGACGGCGUUAUUUUUUGACCCGURSGGCGCCUUACGGGAAAC
rnacentral:rRNA from 1 species